UACGGAGGGUGCAAGCGUUAUCCGGAUUUACUGGGUUUAAAGGGUGCGCAGGCGGAUAUGUAAGUCAGUGGUGAAAUCUCUAGGCUUAACCUGGAAAUUGCCGUUGAUACUAUAUAUCUUGAAUGUUGUGGAGGUAAGCAGAAUAUGUCAUGUAGCGGUGAAAUGCUUAGAUAUGACAUAGAAUACCUAUUGCGAAGGCAGCUUACUACGCAGAUAUUGACGCUCAUGCA
rnacentral:rRNA from 1 species